rnacentral:rRNA from 1 species
GACGAACGCUGGCGGCGUGCUUAACACAUGCGAGUCGAACGGAAAGGCCCCUUUGGGGGUACCCGAGUGGCGAACGGGUGAGUAACACGUGAGUAACCUGCCCUUGACUUCGGGAUAACUUCAGGAAACUGGGGCUAAUACCGGAUAGGAAUCCUUGCUGCAUGGUGGGGGUUGGAAAGCUUCGGCGGUUUUGGAUGGACUCGCGGCUUAUCAGCUUGUUGGUGGGGUAGUGGCUUACCAAGGCUUUGACGGGUAGCCGGCCUGAGAGGGCGACCGGCCACAUUGGGACUGGGAUACGGCCCAGACUCCUACGGGAGGCAGCAGUGGGGAAUAUUGCACUAUGGGCGGAAGCCUGAGGCAGCAACGCCGCGUGCGGGAUGACGGCCUUCGGGUUGUAAACCGCUUUCAGCAGGGGCGAAGCUUGUGGUGACGGUACCUGCAGAAGAAGCACCGGCUAACUACGUG